GUAGUCAACAUCUCAGUGGUGGAGCACGUGCCUAGCAUGCACGAGGUCCUGGGUUCGAUCCCCAGUACCUCCA
rnacentral:tRNA from 1 species